AGUGAACGCUGGCGGUAGGCCUAACACAUGCAAGUCGAACGGCAGCACAGUAAGAGCUUGCUCUUACGGGUGGCGAGUGGAGGACGGGUGACGAAUACAUCGGAAUCUACUUUUUCGUGGGGGAUAACGUAGGGAAACUUACGCUAAUACCGCAUACGACCUACGGGUGAAAGCAGUGGAUCUUCGGACCUUGCGCGAUUGAAUGAGCCGAUGUCGGAUUAGCUAGUUGGCGGGGUAAAGGCCCACCAAGGCGACGAUCCGUAGCUGGUCUGAGAGGAUGAUCAGCCACACUGGAACUGAGACACGGUCCAGAGUCCUACGGGAGGCAGCAGUGGGGAAUAUUGGACAAUGGGCGCAAGCCUGAUCCAGACAUACCGCGUGGGUGAAGAAGGCCUUCGGGUUGUAAAGCCCUUUUGUUGGGAAAGAAAAGCAGCAGGUUAAUACCCAGCUGUUCUGGCGGUACCCAAAGAAUAAGCACCGGCUAACUUCGUG
rnacentral:rRNA from 1 species